CGUGCUAUACAUGCAAGUCGAGCGGACAGAUGGGAGCUUGCUCCCUGAUGUUAGCGGCGGACGGGUGAGUAACACGUGGGUAACCUGCCUGUAAGACUGGGAUAACUCCGGGAAACCGGGGCUAAUACCGGAUGGUUGUUUGAACCGCAUGGUUCAAACAUAAAAGGUGGCUUCGGCUACCACUUACAGAUGGACCCGCGGCGCAUUAGCUAGUUGGUGAGGUAACGGCUCACCAAGGCAACGAUGCGUAGCCGACCUGAGAGGGUGAUCGGCCACACUGGGACUGAGACACGGCCCAGACUCCUACGGGAGGCAGCAGUAGGGAAUCUUCCGCAAUGGACGAAAGUCUGACGGAGCAACGCCGCGUGAGUGAUGAAGGUUUUCGGAUCGUAAAGCUCUGUUGUUAGGGAAGAACAAGUACCGUUCGAAUAGGGCGGUACCUUGACGGUACCUAACCAGAAAGCCACGGCUAACUACGUGCCAGCAGCCGCGGUAAUACGUAGGUGGCAAGCGUUGUCCGGAAUUAUUGGGCGUAAAGGGCUCGCAGGCGGUUUCUUAAGUCUGAUGUGAAAGCCCCCGGCUCAACCGGGGAGGGUCAUUGGAAACUGGGGAACUUGAGUGCAGAAGAGGAGAGUGGAAUUCCACGUGUAGCGGUGAAAUGCGUAGAGAUGUGGAGGAACACCAGUGGCGAAGGCGACUCUCUGGUCUGUAACUGACGCUGAGGAGCCGAAAGCGUGGGGAGCGAACAGGAUUAGAUACCCUGGUAGUCCACGCCGUAAACGAUGAGUGCUAAGUGUUAG
rnacentral:rRNA from 1 species